rnacentral:lncRNA from 1 species
GUUCCUUUUACAGCCAGACUUCAGGCCGGCGACUCCUUUAACACAUCGGUUCUCCUCUUUAUUGGGACCCUUGCCCUGCCCGGGGUUCGUCUGGAGCGGGGAAGGUUUCUCACAAAUGCCCGGAAGUGGCACCAUGGCCAACGGGGAUCUGUUGUUGCAUCACAACAGAACAUGGGGUUCGUCUGGAGCGGGGAAGGUUUCUCACAGAUGCCCGGAAGUGGCACCACGGCCAGCGAGGAUCUGUUGUUGCAUCACAACAGAACGGGGCUCAACCUUCUCCAUGGACGUCACGUCCCCUUGAGUUCGUUUUGCCUGGGUGGCUUUGUGUCUGCUCUGCCAGGUUCACGGAGCGUGUCCAUGUCUUUUCUCUGUCUCUUGCCAGGGUCCUCCAGGUCCUAUCGGCCCGCAAGGCCCCAUCGGCCAACCCGGUCCGGCUGGAGCUGAUGGGGAACCCGGCCCUCGAGGGCAACAAGGUCUCUUCGGCCAGAAAGGAGAUGAAGGACCCCGAGGUUUCCCCGGACCGCCGGGACCCAUUGGAUUGCAGGGUUUACCUGGACCUCCUGGUGAGAAGGGAGAAACUGGGGAUGUUGGUCAAAUGGUAAGCCCUUGUUCGAAAACAUACAGCAUAGUUGUGAGGUUGUUUUCCUCUGAAUGUUUGUGAUCCAAAAGGCGUAUCUUUCUACUAACGGGGGGCCGUCUGCUUUCUCUUCCCCACCCCACCUCCAAACCCAGGGUCCUCCUGGUCCCCCGGGGCCGAGAGGUCCAUCUGGGUCCCCAGGAGCCGAUGGAUCACAAGGGCCCCCUGGCGGAAUUGGAAACCCGGGGUCCGUGGGUGAAAAGGGAGAGCCUGGAGAAGCUGGGGAGCCUGGCCUGCCUGGAGACGGUGGACCACCAGUAAGUGGGGACCUUUUCAGAAAUGUCCAUUGGGAAAUGAAAUGAAAGGAAAGAGGUUGAGUUCCCGAAGGAGCUGCAGGGCCAUAACGAGGUUUCCAAGCAUGGUCAGGUAUGGUGGGCGCUUCUUGGCUGAUCGUGGCCAGAGCAUUCACGAGGCCCAUCCUAAAUGCUUCGGAAGUGGUCCACAAAAGUCCUGAGCAUCCGUAAAUGCACCCGGGGGGGUGAUGGGAAAGGUUGUACCAUGCUGUGGAGUGGAGUGAAGCCUUGGUAGGUCUCUGGAGGUGCCACCCUCUCUGGACUUCCCAUCUGCCUUGACUGGAUCCGUUGGAGUCUUGGCCCCUGUGUCAUUCACGAGGCCCAUCCUAAAUGCUUCGGAAGUGGUCCACAAAAGUCCUGAGCAUCCGUAAAUGCACCCGGGGGGGUGAUGGGAAAGGUUGUACCAUGCUGUGGAGUGGAGU